AACGAACGCUGGCGGCAGGCCUAACACAUGCAAGUUGAACGAGAAGCAUUCUUCGGAAUGUGGACAGUAGCGCACGGGUGAGUAACGCGUGGGAAUUUACACUUCAGUAAGGAACAACGUUUGGAAACGAACGCUAAUACCUUAUAAUGACUCCGGUCCAAAGAUUUAUCGCUGAAGGAUAAGCCCGCGUCUGAUUAGCUAGUUGGUGAGGUAAAGGCUCACCAAGGCGACGAUCAGUAGGGGGUUUGAGAGGAUGAUCCCCCACACUGGAACUGAGACACGGUCCAGACUCCUACGGGAGGCAGCAGUGAGGAAUAUUGGACAAUGGGCGAAAGCCUGAUCCAGCCAUGCCGCGUGAGUGAAGAAGGCCCUAGGGUUGUAAAGCUCUUUCAAUCGUGAAGAUAAUGACGGUAGCGAUAGAAGAAGCUCCGGCUAACUCCG
rnacentral:rRNA from 1 species